rnacentral:rRNA from 1 species
CUUCCUACGGGGCGCAGCAGUAGGGAAUCUUCCACAAUGGACGAAAGUCUGAUGGAGCAACGCCGCGUGAGUGAAGAAGGGUUUCGGCUCGUAAAGCUCUGUUGGUAGUGAAGAAAGAUAGAGGUAGUAACUGGCCUUUAUUUGACGGUAAUUACUUAGAAAGUCACGGCUAACUACGUGCCAGCAGCCGCGGUAAUACGUAGGUGGCAAGCGGUGUCCGGAUUUAUUGGGCGUAAAGAGGGUGCAGGCGAGGUAA